CCAGUAGUCAUAUGCUUGUCUCAGAGAUUAAGCCAUGCAUGUCUCAGUGCACGCCUUUACACGGUGAAACCGCGAAUGGCUCAUUAAAUCAGCUAUGGUUUAUUGGAUCAUACCCGUUAAAUGGAUAACUGUAAUAACUCUAGAGCUAAUACAUGCCACUGAUGCCCUGACCCUUUUGGGAAUGGGUGCACUUAUUAGAUCAGAAGCCAACCGUGUAUGUCCGAAAGGAUGUGCACGUUGACCUUCUGGUGACUCUGGAUAAUUGUUACAGAUCGCAGUCGGCCUUGAGUCGGCGACGGGUCCUUCAAAUGUCUGCCCUAUCAACUUUCGAUGGUAGGUGACCUGCCUACCAUGGUGAUAACGGGUAACGGGGAAUCAGGGUUCGAUUCCGGAGAGGGAGCCUGAGAAACGGCUACCACUUCCAAGGGAGGCAGCAGGCGCGCAAAUUACCCACUCCCGGUACGGGGAGGUGGUGACGAAAAAUACCGAUGCGGGACUCUCAACGAGGCUCCGUAAUCGGAAUGAGUGAACUAUAAAUCCUUUCACGAGGAUCAAUUGGAGGGCAAGUCUGGUGCCAGCAGCCGCGGUAACUCCAGCUCCAAUAGCGUAUAUUAAAGUUGCUGCAGUUAAAAAGCUCGUAGUUGGAUCUCGGUACCACUGUUGCCCGUCAGUCCUUUGGUAGGUGGCUAUGUGCGCAUGGGCACGACCUGUGUUGUCAUGGCUGUUCUGUCAGAGUUGGCGGUGUGACGGUGUCGCCUUUAAGCCAUGUCUGUGGUGAAAUACCCUCAGGUGUAGGCGAGUGUCGGGUGGUGCCCAGCGUAAGUUGGGCCUGCCGGCUCGUCUGCAUGCCUUGGGAUGCCCUUCAAAAGGUGUCUGUGGGCGGAUGGCACGUUUACUUUGAACAAAUUUGAGUGCUCAAACCAGGCCGAUGUUGCCUGAAAAGUUUUGCAUGGAAUAAUGGAAUAGGACUUCGGUUCUAUUUCGUUGGUUUUCGGAUCCGAAGUAAUGAUCAAAAGAGACAGGCGGGGACGUUUGUAUGGCUGCGCUAGAGGUGAAAUUCAUGGACCGUAGCCAGACAAACUAAAGCGAAAGCAUUCGUCAAGCAUGUUUUCAUUGGCCAUGAGCGAAAGUCAGAGGCUCGAAGACGAUCAGAUACCGUCCUAGUUCUGACCAUAAACGAUGCCAACUGACGAUCCGUGGUGGUAGUUCAUCAACCUUCCCCACGGGCAGUCCCCGGGAAACCUUUAAGUCUUUGGGUUCCGGGGGAAGUAUGGUUGCAAAGCUGAAACUUAAAGGAAUUGACGGAAGGGCACCACCAGGAGUGGAGCCUGCGGCUUAAUUUGACUCAACACGGGAAAACUCACCCGGCCCGGACACUAUGAGGAUUGACAGAUUGAAAGCUCUUUCUUGAUUUGGUGGUAGGUGGUGCAUGGCCGUUCUUAGUUGGUGGAGCGAUUUGUCUGGUUAAUUCCGAUAACGAACGAGACUCCUGCCUGCUAAUUAGUGCACCUGUCAACUGUACUUGCGAAGGCGGUGCUAUGUGAGGCUGGUUUCCCCGUUUCUGAGCGGUGGUCUUGGCUGAUCUUGCACUAGCUUCCGGGUGCGGAGCGGGUGUCUACUUCUUAGAGGGACAAGCGGGAGAAGCCGCACGAAAUGGAGCAAUAACAGGUCUGUGAUGCCCUUAGAUGUCCGGGGCCGCACGCGCGCUACAAUGACGGUGGCAAUGAGUCUGACCUUCUGGCCCGAAAGGGUUGGGCAAACUGGUCAAUCACCGUCAUGACAGGGAUCGGGGCUUGGAAUUGGUUCCCCGUGAACGAGGAAUUCCUAGUAAGUGCAAGUCAUAAGCUUGCGCUGAUUACGUCCCUGCCCUUUGUACACACCGCCCGUCGCUACUACCGAUUGAAUGGUUUAGUAAGGUCCUUGGAUUGGCGCCAUUGUGGUGGCUUUCCGAAAGGCAAUCUACCCGACAGGUGCUGAGAAGACGACCAAACUUGAUCAUUUAGAGGAAGUAAAAGUCGUAACAAGGUUUCCGUAGGUGAAA
rnacentral:rRNA from 1 species